AACGAACGCUGGCGGCAGGCCUAACACAUGCAAGUCGAACGCUCCAGCAAUGGAGAGUGGCAGACGGGUGAGUAACGCGUGAGAACCUUCCCAGUGGUACGGAAUAGCCCAGGGAAACUUGGGGUAAUACCGUAUACGCCCUUCGGGGGAAAGAUUUAUCGCCAUUGGAUGGGCCCGCGUCGGAUUAGCUUGUUGGUAGGUAAAGCCUACCAAGGCGACGAUCCGUAGCUGGUCUGAGAGGAUGAUCAGCCACACUGGGACUGAGACACGGCCCAGACUCCUACGGGAGGCAGCAGUGGGGAAUAUUGGACAAUGGGCGCAAGCCUGAUCCAGCCAUGCCGCGUGAGUGACGAAGGCCUUAGGGUUGUAAAGCUCUUUUGGCGGGGACGAUAAUGACGGUACCCGCAGAAUAAGCUCCGGCUAACUUCGUG
rnacentral:rRNA from 1 species